rnacentral:rRNA from 1 species
GACAUAGGUCGCGAACGUUAUCCGGAAUUAUUGGGCGUAAAGGGCGCGUAGAUGGUAUAAUAAGUUAGCAGUGGGAAAUCGGGGCUCAACCUCGUGGAAGCUGUUAAUACUGUGAUUCUUGAGUACAGAAGAGGUUAACGGAACUCCAUGUGGAGCGGUAAAAUGCAUCGAUAUAUGGAAGAACACCAAUAACGGCGAAGGCAGUUAACUAUUCUGUUACUGACGUUGAGGCACGAAAGCGUGGGGAGCAAAACGG